rnacentral:rRNA from 1 species
AGAGUUUGAUCAUGGCUCAGAUUGAACGCUGGCGGUAUGCUUAACACAUGCAAGUCGAACGGUAGCAGGCCUUCGGGCGCUGACGAGUGGCGGACGGGUGAGUAACGCGUAGGAAUCUGCCUGGUAGUGGGGGACAACGUGGGGAAACUCACGCUAAUACCGCAUACGCCCUACGGGGGAAAGCGGGGGCUCUUCGGACCUCGCGCUAUCAGAUGAGCCUGCGUUAGAUUAGCUAGUUGGUAGGGUAAAGGCCUACCAAGGCGACGAUCUAUAGCUGGUCUGAGAGGACGAUCAGCCACACUGGGACUGAGACACGGCCCAGACUCCUACGGGAGGCAGCAGUGGGGAAUAUUGGACAAUGGGCGCAAGCCUGAUCCAGCAAUACCGCGUGUGUGAAGAAGGCCCUAGGGUUGUAAAGCACUUUCAAUUGGGAGGAAAACCUGCCGGUCAAUACCCGGUAGCUUGACAUUACCUUUAGAAGAAGCACCGGCUAACUCCGUGCCAGCAGCCGCGGUAAUACGGAGGGUGCGAGCGUUAAUCGGAAUUACUGGGCGUAAAGCGUGCGUAGGUGGUUCGUUAGGUCAGAUGUGAAAGCCCCGGGCUCAACCUGGGAACUGCAUUUGAAACUGGCGGACUAGAGUUUAGUAGAGGGGAGUGGAAUUUCAGGUGUAGCGGUGAAAUGCGUAGAUAUCUGAAGGAACACCAGUGGCGAAGGCGACUCCCUGGACUAGAACUGACGCUGAGGUACGAAAGCGUGGGUAGCAAACAGGAUUAGAUACCCUGGUAGUCCACGCCGUAAACGAUGUCAACUAGCCGUUGGUCCUAUUUACAGGAUUAGUGGCGCAGCUAACGCAUUAAGUUGACCGCCUGGGGAGUACGGCCGCAAGGUUAAAACUCAAAGGAAUUGACGG